GACGAACGCUGGCGGCGUGCUUAACACAUGCAAGUCGAACGGAAAGGCCCUGCUUUUGUGGGGUGCUCGAGUGGCGAACGGGUGAGUAACACGUGAGUAACCUGCCCUUGACUGUGUGAUAACUUCAGGGAACACGGGCUAAUACCGCAUAUGAGCUCUUGAUGCAUGUUGUGGGAAGGAAAGAUUCGGCGGUGUGGGAAGGAAUCGCGGCUUAUGAGCUUGUUGGUGAGGUAGUGGCUUACAAAGGCUUCGACGGGUAGCCGGCCUGAGAGUGUGACCGGCCACAUUGGGACUGAGAUACGGCCCAGACGCCUACGGGAGGCAGCAGUGGGGAAUAUUGCACAAUGGGCGGAAGCCUGAUGCAGCAACGCCGCGUGCGGGAUGACGGCCUUCGGGUUGUAAACCGCUUUCGCCUGUGACGAAGCGUGAGUGACGGUAAUGGGUAAAGAAGCACCGGCUAACUACGUG
rnacentral:rRNA from 1 species